ensembl:lncRNA
UCUCCUCUGACCACACACUCAGAUCUCACUGAUGCAGAAUAACCCCGAGGGCCUCGGAAAGUCAACUUGAUAUCCGAAUUUCCAGAAAAUCCAAAUUUAGGGUGGUUUCCUUUCAUUGGCAGAACACCAGCUUGAUUGGGGAUCCUUCUCCAGGCUAGUGCUCCAGCUCAGCCUGCUGGUGCUCCAGCUCAGCCUUCAGCGCCAGAGUAUAUUUUCAUCUGUGACAGGGUGAAAACAAACAUUCCCCCCCCCCCCGCCCUUCUGAAAAUAACAAUAUUGAGAACACCUGGUUUGUAGCUUUCUUAAAGUUUGUUCUGCAAAUUCAAACAUAUGUCAGUAGAUCAAAUGAUUGAUGAAAAUGUUCCGUGCUGCAUUGCAAGGCAGAGGACCCUGUCAUUAAAUAGCUUUUUUGAGAAACAGAUAGAAAAGGAGUUAAUUGUCUCUUCUUGAAAAGAUUGCUCCAGAUCACCAAAGGUGUCUGUUUCCUUUUCCAAGUGGGAAAAGGUAUUUAAUUUAUUCUAUGCAAUUUUCUGCUUUCUGUCCCACUGACUACUAUAUUUAAUUACUCUAAAUCACUCUCCACAUGAAGACGUGAUGGGCUUCUGAGAGCUGUUACAAGGAUGCUGCCUGUAAAUGUUUGUCUGCUUGAGCAGUACUGAAAGUCCUCAGCUUGGCUUCCCACACGUCAUUGGCUAAAAGACAGUGUAGACUGGUAAUGAGGAGGACAGGUACCUCUGCCGUGACAUCAGACUCUGCGCCGAGUUGACCUCCUGUUCUAUAGGAUGCAGCAUCUGAUGAUGGUGACUUGAAACCUCAUUUGCUGUGUAAGCUGGAAGUGACAACAGAUGAGCAUCACUAAGACACCCAGGACCUUUCAACUCCAGAAAAGAGACUUAGCAAUGACAGGAGCCCUAGCCACGAGUUCCCAGCACUGUGAAUACCUCCCUUCAUGUGGAUGGACCAAAACUCAGGAGGGGAGAAACAUCUUGUUCCAUUAAAUGAUCUUUGUCUGGUCGUUGGUGACAGUAACGGGACAUGCAAAAUGGUCAUUAAACUGAUCUCAACACCGAGGCCUAAAGAACAAGCAAAUGAGAAGAAAGCAAAAGCAGGAAGAGCCAUGUGCACAUGGUUCCCUGCUCGAGAGGGAAGAGCUCUGGCCAGCCGGCUCAUCUACAGUGAUAUAAUGUGCACUUCAAACCAAAUCGAUACAACCCAAGAAAAAGCAGAGUCUGCGCGUGCGCUUAUUCACUGUGAUUUGCGUUGGCCUUUAUGGCAGCCGAAUGUGCAAUUUUCAUGAACUUUUAUUUGAAAGAACCUUGGCAUUCAAAGAUAUAACCUUUGUGGAAUAAUAAAAGCCACCAUAAAUGUCUGUGGCA